AGAUGGGGUAGAGGUUGCGAACUGUCAAAAGUACCUAAGAAGAGUUUGGGUAAAACUAAGAUUCUUAGGGAAAGGGAAGUUCGCCGAAGCUUUGAUCUUCUACCCAGAGUUCAAAGUUGGGACUGUACUUAAUAUGUACAGGACUGUCUUCAGGUAGAUUUCCCAUCUAUCUGAGGUGUGCUCUCCAUUUU
rnacentral:ncRNA from 1 species